rnacentral:lncRNA from 1 species
UCUUUCACCUCUGUGUCUCUCUUGCCUUCAGGGAAUUCCUGAUCUUUAGUCCAGGCUCUGCCAGUGACUCAUCUGGUGUUUUUAUUUUCGACUGAAUUUCUGUAGAAYAGAGAUAAAAUGCUUCCUGUAGUAGAUGAGCGUAAGCCUUUGUUGGGCAAUAGCGCACACCUCAAUUAAAUGACUUGACACUGCAUGUCACCAUAAAGCAAAUACAGUCACGUAGCACUUUGCCAGACCGGUGUCAGCUCUCCUAACUGAAGCGGCUCAGAGUUGCUGACCCUGUGCUGAACUGUUCUCAGAUCGUGCAGCCAGCCAUUAUCCUGUUUAUCAGAAGCUGCAUCUUUAUAACAGCAACCCAGGCUGGGAUUUUGGGCCCUUCCGAAGGCUAGACCACCUCAUCCAAGAGACUCGCCUCAACAUCUCCUGGUAACAUCUGGUGUGACUAAUAGUGCAUAUGCUAGGGGCAGGACUUGAGUGAGGGUCUUUUGGGGGUCCUUGGCAGUCAGCAGCAUGUAAAAAUGCAGAAUGAAGUUCGGUGUGUUCAAGUCCUUGUGUUUAGCUAUCAUCACUGCUGCAAGCUAAAGGGUCCUUAGAUCAACUGCUGUCUUUUCUGCUUCUUCUUUUUAGGUUUGCCCAUGUUUUCCUGGAUUCUGGGACAUAUGUUUUCCGGGACAGAACCAUUCAGGAACACUUCCUGAUUGUGACUGUGAAUGAGGCAAAUGUGGGCUGUGACCCCAGAGGUGUGUCCUUCCAGCCGUCUUCUCCCUUCCAGCUGGCCAGGCAUGGGGUUCUGAAGCAUCAGGAACUGAACUUAGCUCCUAACUGGGCUGCUAUCACAGCGGUACUCUUUGUUCUGGGCUUCCUAAUUGUGGUGUUGACAACCCUGGCUAUUGUGCUCCAGCCCCCCAUCCCCACCCUUAGCCCCCUGAAGAGCUGGAAGCCACGAUGGAGGAGCCUGGGUGAGCCACACAUCCCACCAGAGUACAUCUUCCUUAAAGACAGGUAAGCCUCCUCUGCACGGUAGGACACCAGGAGCUCAGGCCAUAACAGUACAAAGUCCUGCAGAGCAGGAGCACUGAAGGAAAUGUGAAUCUUCCUGCAUAUCCUAUUGCAAUUACAGAGCCUCACAGUCCUUGGUGCUGGACUCCUCUCCAGCGUUAUGGUAGGCUGAGUUUCCAUCUGCACAGAAAGCUUCUUGGUUUUCCUCAUGGGUUCCUAUGUGGUGCUCUCAUUCUCUUCUGAUAUAGUGUAUGACACCUCUAUUCUGUCCUCUGCACAGAGCCAUUAUCUCCCUGCUCUUGCCUGAAUUACCUGGCCUGGGCUUCCCCUUCACCUCUUGACUUCAAAAUCUAGAGAAGAAACCUAUCCUUGCACUUGACCUGGACUGGAGAUACUGCAGUGUCUGAUCGUACU